rnacentral:tRNA from 1 species
GCCCCCGUAGCUUAGUUGGUAAAGCGCCUGCCUCGUAAGCAGGAGAUCGUGGGUUCGAAUCCCACCGGGGGCU